AGCUUCAUAAAAAGGAAUUUUAAAGCCACAAAAGUAAGGUAGGAAGGUAAGACGAAUCUUGUAAAGAUGACAGGAAAGAUUGCAGUAUAUAUUUAAAGAAAACAAUUUUAUCCGUCAAUCAAAACUGAAUGUUUGGAAAGUAUCGAAGAUGAUCUAAAUUGACAUAGUAUUAUGUUUUUUAUUCUGAUAAAGAUACACUGGUAGAGGUUUGUUUUCAGCAUUUUGGUAUGUGAGAAGGUACCAGGUUUCCCAGCAAGGCAGGAAAUCCGAGCUUUUAUUGUAGUCGUCAAAUCCUGGUCUUUGAGGAUUCUGAAAUCGCGGGCCUUGGAAGCUGGUUGAGCACUCAAUUAGUGUCAAGUAAAGAUACUUUCUAUGAGGAUCAGUCAUUAAACAUCAACGUGUGACUCACCUUACGCUGAGUAUUGCUUUACGAGCUGUUUUAGAUGCUUUGAGUAAGCCUGCAGAUCGGCAUUGGAGCAGUUUGUGGACCGUAUCAUUGAGUAUUACUUCUCCAGUUUAGUUCUGACCACCUCACUAUUUAUUACAACGAGUUGAAGGGUAUAAAGCUGCAACCAAUAUUUGCUUCAAUAUUCAAACAUUUAUUUAAUAAACCUAACUUUAGUUCGAUAUUAAGUGUGCCAUUUCAUACUAAAGCCAUCAAUGAAGAACUACUGCAAAAUCUUUCUGAUGCUCUACACUUAUCGGUACCGGAUAAAAUUGGAGUUGGUCUUGCUUUGUCUAAUUCUGAAGAACACGAUAUCUUUAUGAUACUAAGAAGUGUGGUUAGUUAUUCUCUUCUUUGUACAUACAUUUAGAUAUAUUGUUUUGUUUAGUUGUAGGAAGUGGAAUACAUACAUAAGUUUUUUCUCCUUGGAAUUCUUCCGCAUGUUUCACUAAACCUAUAACCCUUUUCUUGGCUGUAUGCAGGAAAGAAUUUCUGUUUGACACAAUUUAGAGAGCUGUGUGCCAAACCUACUGCGUUUGAGGCUACUGUGAUAAUUCAGCAUAUUCUCGUGUUACUCUUAGUCAAUUUGAAGUCUUUAAUUAUUUAGAUUCAUUCUUGCAAAUGUUAUCUCUUGUUCCACUACUAAGGUUUUUCUGUUAUAGUUCCUAAUGCAUAAAUAGACUAGAAUGUACUUGGUCGAUAUAAAGGUCGAGGGUGGUAGGGGGCGACUAACUUCUUAACUUAAGAGAAACGGCGGAAUAGGGUGGAAAACAAAAGGCACAAGUCUAUUUAUUGGUUUUUGAGCUUGCUUUGCUUGAUCUUCUGCUUCUUGGUUGUUGCGCCUACAAUUUUCUAUUUAUUCAAUUCAUUCUUUGCUGCCUUUUGCAGCUUUAUAAUUAACCUGUAACAUAUAUUAUAUUUUUGUGUGUUAUGACGUUUUUCUACUUUUUUCUAAUCCCCUGUUUGCUACCUUGCAGCUUUAUAAUUAAUACAUACAUAGUAUCCUAGUUUCUUUGUCUUAUAUGCCGUGUACAAAUAUGUCUUAUAUUAGUUAUUCUUUGAUAUAUAAACCCCAUUGAUUGUCAAAUCUUGGCAUCUUAAUAUAUCUGUUAAUUGUUUUUAUAGGCUCUUUCCCAAGUACUUACUAGACACAUUUCCUUUUUACUUCGGCAUUAGGUUUGCUGAACUUGCUUCUAAAAAAAGAAAUCGUGGGCCUUGGAAGCUGGUUGAGCACUCAAAUAGUGUCGAGUAAAGAUACUUUCUAGAGGAUCAGUCAUUAAGCAUCAACUUGUGACUAACCUUAUGCUGGGUAUUGCUUUACGAGCUGUUUUCGAUGCUUUGAGGAAGCUUGCAAAUUCAAAAGUUUGUUCCUUCCUAGGCAUUGGAGCAGUUUGUGGGUCAUCUCAUUAAGAAUUAUUGAUCCAGUUCAGAUUUGAGCACCUCACUAUUUAUUCCAGCAAGUUGAAGGGUAUAAAGCUGCAACCAAUAAUUGCUUCACUAUUCAAAUAUUUAUUUAUUAAACCUAACUUUAGUUCGAUAUUAAGUGUGUCAUUUCAUACUAAAGCCAUCAAUGAAGAACUACUGCAAAAUCUUUCUGAUGCUCUACACUUGUCGGUACCUAAUAAAAUUUGGGUUGGACUUUCUUUGUUUAAUUAUGAGGAACACGAUAUCUGCACGAUACCAGGAUGUGUGGUUAGUUAUUCUCUUAUUUGUACAUACAUUUAGAUAUAAUUUUUUGUUUAGUUGUAGGAAGUGGAAUACAUACAACAGUUUAUUAUUUUUCUCUCCUUGGAAUUCUUCUACGUGUUGCACUAAACCUGUAACCCUUUUCUUUGUUGUAUGCAGGAAAGACUUUCUGUUUGAGUCAGAUUGCUGCGUUUGAGGCUACUGAGAUAAUUCAGCAUAUUCUUGUGUUAUUCUUGGGAAACUAGGGUGUUUUCCGUGAUAGUUCCUAGUUGUCUAUAAUGUUGUAAAAUACGCUUCAACCUAACUAUGUUACUUGUAAUGUUACCCCGUUCUAAAAUUUUCAACUUGCCUAUAAUGUUUAUCCUUUGUGAAUGCUUGUGCUUCAGGAUCAGUCAUUAAGCAUCAACUUGUGACUAACCUUAUUCUGGGUAUUGCUUUACGAGCGGUUUUCAAUGCUUUGAGGAAGCUUGCAAAUUCAAAAGUUUGUUCCUUCCUAGGCAUUGGAACAGUUUGUGGACCGUCUCAUUUAGUGGCCACUGUACUGCCAUCAUAUCCUGCACUUUGUAACAUUUAUAGGGAGGGCACUUAACAGUAUUUCAGCGGCUUAUACUGAACUGAUGUUAGCCAUAGUGCCAAUACUGAUCACCGACACAGUCAUAUUCAAUCUUCAUCUCCACAUAUAGAGACUGCAGGCCCACCAUUUUCUCUGAUCGGACCCGGCAGCAUAUUGUCUGGAUUAGCAAUUCCCUCUUCGAUCCCACUACAACAGAGACCACCAAGUUCUCUAGAUGAGAGUUCACU